UCAACUAAGUAGCACUCACUAGGCAAGGGACAUCGCCAAAGCCCUUAGGGAAUUAAGAGAGGUUGGGGACAGGUAUUUGUAAGGGUUAGUGUGGGCCCCUUCUGAGGGUCCUAAAAUCACUGAGAGCUGUGUUAAGUGGGGGGGCCUGAAGAUAAGUUGGUAAGCAGCUAGCAGAGAGAUGUGGUGAGCAGAGUGGAUAGCAGGGUGGCUGGCAGAGAGAUACAGCUAGCAGUGAAGAUUACAGCAGAAAUCGGCCAUCAACUCAAGCAGCAGAGCAUGUAAGAUGCCUCCCAUACGUCCCCCCACUUCCACCCAGGCUGGGAGAUAAAUGUUGCAGAGAAACUUCUGAACUCUGAGGGCUGCACUGAGCAAGGAGAGCCCUGCUCAAUGCUGAAGAGAAAAUGGAAUGACUAUUGCUGUGGGGGGAAUCUCACAUGAAAUCCUCAGGGUAAUGGUUUCAAGGGAGCUCAGAUCAGAGGACACUAUCAGCAAUUCAUCCCAAACGUUGCUACCAUUGCCAUCCCUUGGGUCGACUUACUAAAGGAUUCAGCACCCAAAAAACUCUGUUGAACAAAAAGCUGUGAGGAGGCAUUGAAAGACUGAAUGAACCAGGUAUAUAGAAUUGAUGCAGUUUGGGAAAAAAUAAUCUCAGUGAAGACAGGCACAAACAAAGCAGAUUGGAGAAACACAACCAAGGAAGUCAGACAGAAGAGUGAUCCUGAACAGGGACCACAGAGCAGGAAAGCCCCACAUGCGGAGCCUUCUCUAACCACCAUUGCCUUUGAGAACUCCAAAGUCAGGUAGGGCCUUGCACCUUUGGACUCUUUUGGUUGUACUAUACUGUACUUAUGGACUAUAAGGACUAUGCCCCAAACUGAAGGAAUCUAUUGGUAAGAAGUAGCCCAGGGAAGCAACUUAGACUGACUUCAGGGAGGAUCCUGCUGGUGUUGCUUCCAACAGGGCCGUGAGCUGGGACCAGGUGGAGAUGGAAGGCCCAGGUCCCCCUACCAAUCCCCUUAAGGGCCUAGACCCAGAUGUAGGUGGAAAGCCAAAAAGAUGCCUAGAUUGAGGUCAAGAACAGGUGCUUCUACUGCCUGGACAUUGGGGCUAGAAGUUGACAAGGGGCUAGAAGUUGUUGGAUGUGCUAAUCACUAGGCUGCCCAUCCCACUGAGCUCCAUAUCGCACUCCCCUACACCUCAACUGCCACCAGAAAGCGGUAAGCUGUUACAGUUGCACCUAAAGAAGAGGACUUUGUGGACCCCUGAGAGCAAAACAGGGUACCCCUCAUACAAGGGGUGACAGGAGAGGUCACAUACGGAGGGCUGUGGCCCAGGAAGGGCAAAGGAGUUUCAUUGCCUCCUGAACCAAGGGGUGAUGGUUGAGAUUUGUGAUAUUUGCAUUUGGAUUUUCAUUUACCUAAGAAAGUGAAAUUGUUUUAGUUUGGCCAAAGAGACAAACUAUUCUAUCAAGAAGAGGGAAACUGAGGCAGAUAGACCAAGUAAGCCAUGGUUACAAGCUCAUAUAAGAACUUGCUUGCUCAUCUGUGUGUCCCUGCAUAAAAGGACUUAGAAGAAGAGCAGGCUACUGUGAUUUCCAUGCUCUCCCUCUGUUCCAUCUCUUUCCUUUGUGAAAUUUAUCUUCUCCAUUUCUCCUCUACUCUUUCAUUCAUUCUUGCAUCCCAGUUAUCCUUGGAGGAAAAGGAACAAUAAUUAAAGACAGAAGGGGAACAGGAGGACUGAUGCUAGGACUCAAUGCCAUAAUGUUAAUUAACCUUACGGCCUUUGCCAUAGAAUGAGAAAAGAAUAAUACCUAGCUCUUAGCACUUUUCAUCAGUAGAUCUCAAACCAUUUCACAAUCUUUAAUGUCUUUAUCCAGAAACACCUCUGUGAGGAAGGGAAAUAUUACAUUUUACAAAUGGGGAACUGCAUGAUUAUAAUGUUGCUUAGAAUGCACAGAUUGUCUCUAACACUGAAUUCUCUAAAAUCCUUUCUUGAGGGGCAAACCCCACUAGACAUACACAAUGUACCUUUUCCUAACUGCAAUUGCUUUUUGAAAGCAAAAGUUUCAUUCUUGCCUGACAUACUUGGAGGGGGAAACAGGGAAAUGAGUACGAACAAUUAUGAUGAAUAGUUUCUCAAAAAUUACCUGUUUUCAGUUUGGAGCCUUAACAGUUAUCUUUGCUGAGUCAGCUGACCAAAUGACACUGACAGACAUUGCCAUGAUGAAUAUUUCUCCCCAUGUUCCAUGCUCCCUGUUUUGGUACAGUCAGAAGACAGUCAGCUAAAUCUGGAUUUUAACUUUUUUAAAUAUUGAUCUUGACUUGUACCCUGCCCUGUGAAGUAAACAUGUUAUUAUAAGGGCUGGCAGGGAAAGAUAAUUUACUGUGCAAUCUGGUCACGAACUUGGAAGAAUGGAUAACUGAGAAAUACACCAUGCUGAUAGCUGAACAUUGGAGAAAAGAGUAAACUUAAAAUAAGCUUUCUAUGUGUGCUAAAUAUCCAUUCUGAUAUCACCUGUCAGGAGAUGCUGGGCAUUAUAUGCUUGUAAUGGACUUCCAGUUAUCACAGGCAGAGUUACCCAUCGGAUAUGUGACAGAGGGAGCACUGAGUGCUGAAGAUACUUACGUACAGGGCAUUCACUGAAAUUUGAGACCCUGCAUUGUCGGAUGAAGUAAGGAAGUCUAAGUGAAAAUAAUUAUCUAAACUGGAAUUUGACUAGGACUUUAGAGUGUAAUAGAAUCUGUAAUGACCUCAGGUACUUAGAACCUUGUUUUUAUAUCUCAGUUAAAAGCAGCAUCUCCACAGCUCUGUGUCGUUUACCAUCAUCAACGACUUAGAUAUUGGCAUAGAAAGUAUGCUUAUUAAGUUUAGUAUCAUCUGCAAACUGGGAGGAAUUGCAACUGCUUUGGAGGACAGGGUCAAAAUUCAAAAUGAUCU